AGUGAACGCUGGCGGUAGGCCUAACACAUGCAAGUCGAACGGCAGCACAGUAAGAGCUUGCUCUUACGGGUGGCGAGUGGCGGACGGGUGAGGAAUACAUCGGAAUCUACUUUUUCGUGGGGGAUAACGUAGGGAAACUUACGCUAAUACCGCAUACGACCUACGGGUGAAAGCAGGGGAUCUUCGGACCUUUCGCGAUUGAAUGAGCCGAUGUCGGAUUAGCUAGUUGGCGGGGUAAAGGCCCACCAAGGCAACGAUCCGUAGCUGGUCUGAGAGGAUGAUCAGCCACACUGGAACUGAGACACGGUCCAGACUCCUACGGGAGGCAGCAGUGGGGAAUAUUGGACAAUGGGCGAAAGCCUGAUCCAGCCAUACCGCGUGGGUGAAGAAGGCCUUCGGGUUGUAAAGCCCUUUUGUUGGGAAAGAAAAGCAGCAGGUUAAUACCCCGCUGUUCUGACGGUACCCAAAGAAUAAGCACCGGCUAACUUCGUG
rnacentral:rRNA from 1 species